rnacentral:misc_RNA from 1 species
CAGCCUCUGACGCAGCCCGC